rnacentral:rRNA from 1 species
GGAAUAUUGGUCAAUGGGCGCAGGCCUGAACCAGCCAAGUCGCGUGCGGGAAGACGGCCCUACGGGUUGUAAACCGCUUUAGCCGGGGAGUAACGUGCGCCACGCGUGGCGCAGUGAGAGUACCCGGAGAAUAAGCAUCGGCUAACUCCGUGCCAGCAGCCGCGGUAAUACGGAGGAUGCGAGCGUUAUCCGGAUUCAUUGGGUUUAAAGGGUGCGCAGGCGGCGCUCCAAGUCAGCGGUCAAAUCCGCGGGCUCAACCCGCGGCCGCCGUUGAAACUGGGGUGCUUGAGUAGGUGCGACGGACGCGGAAUGCGUGGUGUAGCGGUGAAAUGCAUAGAUAUCACGCAGAACCCCGAUUGCGAAGGCAGCGUCCGAGCACCCGACUGACGCUGAGGCACGAAAGCGUGGGUAUCGAACA